rnacentral:RNase_P_RNA from 1 species
CAAGCAGGCCGGGUGAUCGCGUCUCGCCCCCACAUGGGCGGCGAGAUGAGGAAAGUCCGCGCUCCACAGGGCACGGUGCUGGCUAACGGCCAGGCGGGGUGACCCGACGGCAAAGUGCAACAGAGAGGCAGAGUGCCCCUCCGCGUGAGGGGUGAGGGUGAAACGGUGCGGUAAGAGCGCACCGGCGUCUGUGGCGACACAGGCGGCCAGGCAAACCCCACCGGGAGCAAGACCAAGCAGGAACGAUGGGGCGGCCCGUCCCGCGAUCAGUUCCGGGUAGGUUGCUGGAGGCGCCGGGUAACUGGCGUCCUAGAGAGAUGAUCACCACCCGCUCCGGCGGGCACAGAACGCGGCUUACAGGCCGGCUUGGGUC